rnacentral:rRNA from 1 species
AUGACGACGACUAGCAGCGGUGGCGCCGGUGGCGAUCUGUUAGGCUCCACGCCGGGGUUUCGGUUCUACCCGACGGAGGAUGAGCUGCUGGGCUUCUACCUCCGCCAUCGCCUCGCCGGCACCACCAGGCCGCACGUCGACCGCGUCAUCCCCGUCGUCGACGUCUACAGCCACCACCCUUCCCACCUUCGCUCGAUGGCGGGGGAGGCGAGCGUGCAAGACGCUGAGCAGUGGUUCUUCUUCUGCCCCCGGGCUGAGAGGGAGCUGCGCGGCGGCCGGCCAGCGCGCACCACUCCGUCCGGGUACUGGAAGGCCACGGGCUCGCCGUCCUGCGUCUUCUCCUCUUCCUCCUCAGCCGCCGCCGGUAACAGCAAGGUCAUCGGGGUGAAAAGGACCAUGGUCUUCUACCAGGGCCGUGCGCCCACGGGGGCCAAGACCACGUGGAAGAUGAACGAAUAUAAGGCUGUCGCCGCCGACGACGACACGACGACCGGACACCAGACGACGGCACCUCUCAGGCUGAGGAACGAAUUCAGCGUGUGCCGGCUCUACAUCAGCACGGGGACGCUAAGGUCCUUCGAUCGCCGGCCCCUCAAUACUUCCGGCAAUGGUCAAGCGGCGGCCCGCCGGCAUGCACCGUCGGCAGCCAACACCGCGAGUAUCGGACAAGCCGACAACUAUCAAGGCUGGAGCACGCUGGUGACCACCAGUACCACUGAUGUUGACAAUUUCUGCUUCGACAUGGAUUUCAAUCAACUGUAG